CACAGGUUGCGAGGCCAGAGAAUGUGGGUUUCAAACUCCUUCCUCGGUGACGGGACUGCCACUUACUCAGGAUCACACUUUGGAAACCACUUCCGUACACAAGACAAUGAUCGUUCUUGAUAUCAGCCCAGCUUCUCCGAGGCCACUCAUGGGGAAGAAUUCGUGAAGACAUGAGCAAAAAAACAGAUGCGCACAGGGAGCGAACCCGACAAAUGGACUGAGGGUAAACGUUCACCCCGUGUGGCUCUGGGAAGGACUUCGGAGAGAUUCUACCACCUCUGAUCUUUCUCGCGCCCUGCAAACACUGCAAACACCCACCUGCAAACGCUGUUUGCUCCACUUGGGAAACUGGCUCAGAAUCCACCUGUCUCUCAUCAUCUCCGCCGCACCAUCCUGGCCGAAGACACCAGCAUCUCCAGCCUGGAUUGUGGCUGUGGUCCCUUAGCACAUCUCUUAACUUCAUUUAGAGCCCCUGGAUUUUCACCAGAAGUUUCUAGAAGCCAUCACCUCCCGUCAGACUUAGCAUCGUGUGGAUGCCACCAAGGUUUGCUGCUGGAUCAUGGUUCUUGGAGGCCCGGAAAUUUAAAAGCAUGGUGCUGGCACCUGCUUGGUCUGGUGAGGACCUUCUUGCUGUAUCAUAACAUAGUGGAGGACGAGAUAGCGGGGAUACCAGAGGACGCCUCUCCUCCUCUCUUUAUCAAGCCACAGUUCCAUCGUAGGAGACCAGAACUCCACAAAGAAAGCUUUCAUGGGGUGGGCUGGUACCUGGGGUCCACAAAAGGUCUUUCUCUGGCAGACCCAGUCAUGAGGUCCAGAUGAAGUAGGUCCAAAUGACACAAUGGCCACUGCUCAAGGGCACAGACAGAAAACCUUGGUAAUGUUCACAUGGUGUUAAUGCUGCAUACAUUCAGAAGAUGAGCCAUGUAACCAUGGCUUCCUUGACCUAUAUUCCAAAGGCUCCAUCAAACAGAGAGGGCCCUGGUAAACAUUUGCGGCAGAAGCAGAGCCACCACGGAGUCCCUGAACAAGGGGACGCAGAGCAGAAAGGUGAGGUUGGAAUUGCUGCAGAGUUCCCCAACCAUGGAAAUGCUUCUUGGAGCCACGGGGGUAAGACUGAUCCCAAGACUCUAGGCUAGGCUGUAAGAAAUAUAUUUCUGGGACUCAGCAGUUAAGAACACUUGCAGCUAUUGAAGAAGACCAGGGUUUGGUUCCCAGCACCCACAUGUCCAUAACUCCAGUUCCAGGAAAUCCAGCCUCUGUGGGCACCAGGCCUGCAGUAAGGACUCAUUAUAGAUGCAGGCGAACACUCACACACAUGAACUAACUAAGUUUCUUUGAAAAAAAAUUAAUUUGUUUUCUUUGUAAAUUACCCAAUCUUGGGUAUUCGGCGACAACAAUAGAAAACAGUCUAAUAUAUACACACACAAUGGGAUUAUCUCUACUGUAUGACUUGUUUGAUUUCACAGGCCCGUGGCUGGAGGGUAAUUUGCUUUAGGAUUAAUCUUGCUUAGAGUCUCAUUCAGAAGCGAUUCAGAUAAGACUCUGGACUUUGGACUUUUGAGUUGGUGCUGGAUGAAUUAUGACUUGUGGGCUAUUGGGAUGGAAUAAGUAGAUUUUAUAUGUGAGAAGGACAGGAAUUUUGGAGACCAAAGGGAAAAUGGUAUAGUCUGAAUGUAUCCCUCAAAAUGUAUGUUUUGGAAAUUAAUCCCAAGAACAACAACAUAGGGAAGUGGGCCCU